UCCGCGGUAGCUCAGUUGGUAGAGCAACCCGCUGUUAACGGGUAGGUCACAGGUUCGAGCCCUGUCCGCGGAG
rnacentral:tRNA from 1 species